GACUCCACGUCUGUGUCAGCCGCCGCGGUAAUACCCGCAGCCCAAAGUGGUGGUCGAAUAUUAUUGAGCUUAAAGCGUCCGUAAGCCUGUCUGGUAAAUUCUUGGGUAAAUCGUGCAGCUUAACUGUCCGAAUUCCGGGGAGACUGCCAGACUUGGGACCGGGAGAGGUUGGAGGUACUCCUGGGGUAGGGGGUAAAAUCCCGUAAUCCUGGGAGGACCAUCAGUGCGAAGGCGUCCAACUGGAACGGAUCCGACGGUCAGGGGACGAAGCCCUGGGUCGCGAACUGGAUUAGAUACCCAGGUAGUCCAGGGUGUAAACGCUGCAGACUUGGUGUCGGAGGUCCUACGAGGGCGUCCGGUGCCGGAGAGAAAUUGUUAAGUCUGCCGCUUGGGGAGUACGUCCGCAAGGAUGAAACUUAAAGGAAUUGGCGGGAGAGCACCGCAACGGGAGGAGCGUGCGGUUCAAUUGGAUUCAACGCCGGAAAACUCACCGGGGGCGACGGUUACAUGAAGGCCAAGCUGAUGACUUUGCCUGAUUUUCCGAGAGGUGGUGCAUGGCCGUCGUCAGUUCGUACCGUAAGGCGUUCUGUCAAGUCAGAUAACGAACGAGACCCUCAUCCUUAAUUGCCACCCUAUUCUCCGGAGUAGGAGCACAUUAAGGGGACCGCUGUCGCUAAGGCAGAGGAAGGGGAGGUCAACGGUAGGUCAGUAUGCCCCGAAUCCCCCGGGCUACACGCGCGCUACAAAGGCCAGGACAAUGGGCUUCAACACCGAAAGGUGGAGGCAAUCCCGAAACCUGUCCGUAGUUUGGAUUGAGGGCUGUAACUCGCCCUCAUGAAAAUGGAUUCCGUAGUAAUCGCGGGUCAACAUCCCGCGGUGAAUAUGCCCCUGCUCU
rnacentral:rRNA from 1 species